AGUCCCCAAGACUGGGAGCAGAAGGGACAAUCUGGCAAUUCACUAGAUCUCGGGGGAGGGGGCACGAUCCCUAUGGGGUACCUGUUCCCUGGACUUAAACCUAAGGGGCAGCCUGGUCCCCUGUUAAUAUCGUCUCGCCCACCUUGAAGCUGCUCCGUUCAUCCUGUGUUAACUGGAGAUCCCCUCCCUCCCGCCAGUUCCCGAAUAACCACUCUGAGGCUGAAUAUUAAUUACAAGCUGCUUGGCUGAUGGUUCAGGCGUCUUACCGCUAGCUCUACACAUAUCACCACAUGCCCCGUGGCUCGCCGGGGGAUGCUCUGGCAUCUCUCAGAUUCCACCUUCUUUUUCCCUGUAUCUUUGCUUGGACUUCCUGCCCGGCUGUCUUGUGCCUGGGUAUUGGCCAAAUCAGCCACUUUAUCAGCCAAUGGUAAUAAAGCGCACUCGCAGCACACAGAGACUCCCCACGUCAAUCCUGCAGCCUGAAUGAAUGCCUUCCAGUCUGCCACCCCGGUCUGCCAUUUCGUUUGCAGCCAUGUCCUAGAUGAUGUCACCGCCACCUGGCUACAUUCCCGCGUGAUUUCUCAAACAAGAAGGAGGGCAAGUUUGCAUCUCCCUCCAAAGCUCAAGUUUCGCCCUCCUGUGCCAAGCCGGCUGGGGGGGUCAAUGAGUGAGAAAAGCCUGGAAGGGUGUAAGGCAUUGGGGUGGGGGAGCCUCCCUGGGCCUGAGGAUGAAGACGGGACCCAGAAGGAGUCUCCGAUACUGGGACAGGGUCCCCAGAGCCUCGCUUCUGUCACAGCCACCCUCGUCAGUCCCCCAGCCUGCAGGACUACAGUGAGCCGAGGCCAGUCUAACCUAGAUCCUUUCUCGCAGCGGCUGUCCAGAAACCUGCCGUCUAUACCUUAAAGCCCUAUAGCGCAAACACCGCCUCCAUGGCCCUGGGCUGCCUGGUAAAGGACUACUUCCCUGGCCCGGUGACUGUGACCUGGCAUCCCAAGACGCAGAACAUGAGCAUCGUGAAUUUCCCUGCCCUGGGCUCUGACCUCCUGGUCACCGCCAGCCAGGUGACCACCUGGGACAAGUCAGUCAAGAACUUCACUUGCCAAGUGACACACGCCCCAUCCGGACUCAGCAUAAGCAAGGUGAUCAGAGGACCACUUUGCAAUCUAACCCGGCCCACCUUGAAGCUGCUCCACUCAUCCUGCGACCGCAACGGGUUCCAGUCCACCCUCCAGCUCUACUGCUUCAUCUAUAACCACACUCUUGAUGACGUCGCUGUCACCUGGUUCAGGGACGGACAGGAGAUGCCCAGUGCGUCUCCGGGUGUCUUUCCGAUCAAGAGGGAGGGCAAGCUAGCCUCUUCCUACAGUGAGCUCAACAUCACCACAGAGCAGUGGAUGUCUGAGAGCACCUUCGCCUGCAAGGUCACCUCCCAAGGCGAGGACUAUCACGCCUCUAUCCAGAAGUGCCCAGAGUAUGAACCACGUGGCGUGAGUACCUACCUGAUCCCACCCAGCCCCCUGGACCUGUAUGUAAAGAAGACUCCCAAGCUUACCUGCCUGGUGGUGGACCUGGAAAGCAAGGAGAAUGUCACUGUGGAGUGGACCCAAGAGCACAGGAAGCCUGCAGGCUUGGCAGUCCAGAGUUCCACCAGGCACCACAAUGCAACGACCAGUAUCACCUCCACCCUGCCAGUGGACGCCAACGACUGGAUUGAAGGCGAACGCUACAGGUGCAGAGUGGUCCACCCUCACCUGCCCAAGCCCAUUGUGCGCAUCAUCUCCAAGGCCUGGGGCAAGCGCUCAGCCCCCGAGGUGUAUGCGUUCCCACCGCCAGAGGACGAGAACAAGGACAAACGCACACUCACCUGCCUGAUCCAGAACUUCUUCCCUGAGGACAUCUCGGUGCAGUGGCUGCAGGACGGGACACCGAUCCCAAACACCCAGUACAGAACCACAACGCCCCUAAGGUCCAGUGGCUCCAGUCACGGCUUCUUCAUCUUCAGCCGCCUAGAGGUCACCAGGGCACACUGGGCACAGAAUAAACAAUUCGCCUGCCAAGUGAUCCACGAGGCACUGCAAGAACCUAGGACGCUGGAGAGAAUAGUGCCCAAGACCCCUGGUAAAUGA